UACGGGGGGAGCAAGCGUUGUUCGGAUUUACUGGGCGUAAAGGGCGCGUAGGCGGCCACCGCAAGUCGACUGUGAAAUCUCCGGGCUUAACCCGGAAAGGUCAGCCGAUACUGCGGGGCUAGAGUGCAGAAGGGGCAACUGGAAUUCUCGGUGUAGCGGUGAAAUGCGUAGAUAUCAGGAAGAACACCCGGUGGCGAAGGCGGUUCUCUGGGACGGUACUGACGCUGGAGACGCGAAAGCGUGGGGAGCGAACA
rnacentral:rRNA from 1 species